rnacentral:rRNA from 1 species
AAAUUGAAGAGUUUGAUCAUGGCUCAGAUUGAACGCUGGCGGCAGGCCUAACACAUGCAAGUCGAACGGUAACAGGAAGCAGCUUGCUGUUUCGCUGACGAGUGGCGGACGGGUGAGUAAUGUCUGGGAAACAGCCUGAUGGAGGGGGAUAACUACUGGAAACGGUAGCUAAUACCGCAUAACGUCGCAAGACCAAAGAGGGGGACCUUCGGGCCUCUUGCCAUCGGAUGUGCCCAGAUGGGAUUAGCUAGUAGGUGGGGUAACGGCUCACCUAGGCGACGAUCCCUAGCUGGUCUGAGAGGAUGACCAGCCACACUGGAACUGAGACACGGUCCAGACUCCUACGGGAGGCAGCAGUGGGGAAUAUUGCACAAUGGGCGCAAGCCUGAUGCAGCCAUGCCGCGUGUAUGAAGAAGGCCUUCGGGUUGUAAAGUACUUUCAGCGGGGAGGAAGGGAGUAAAGUUAAUACCUUUACUCAUUGACGUUACCCGCAGAAGAAGCACCGGCUAA